CCCUUAGAUGUCCUGGGCCGCACGCGCGCUACACUGAUGCAUUCAACGAGUAUUUCCUUGGCCGAGAGGCCUGGGCAAUCUUUUAAACCUGCAUCGUGAUAGGGAUAGAUUAUUGCAAUUAUUAAUCUUGAACGAGGAAUUCCUAGUAAACGCAAAUCAUCAAUUUGCAUUGAUUACGUCCCUGCCCUUUGUACACACCGCCCGUCGCACCUACUGAUUGAAUGGUCCGGUGAAAUCUCGGGAUUGUGGCCAGUUCACUUUAUUGGGAGUUGGCUGCGAGAACUUGCUUAAACCUUAUCAUUUAGAGGAAGGUGAAGUCGUAACA
rnacentral:rRNA from 1 species